GGGGAUGUAGCUCAGUGGUAAAAGCACUUGCCUGACAUAUGAGGGCCUGAGUUCGAUCCUCAGCACCCCCC
rfam:Ictidomys tridecemlineatus contig079106, whole genome shotgun sequence.